AGUCAGCCUGUCCUUUGAAACUUUGGAGCCAGGCAUUGACUUCUCUCUAGCUAUGAAAGUCCUAGAUGAUGUUAUGUUCCAAUAGAAUGCCCUUUUAUCUACAUUGAAAAUCUGCUGUUU
rnacentral:miRNA from 10 species